AAAAUAUUGAGUAAAAUCUGAUCUUUACAAUCAUCCAAAGAAAUUUAUUUAAAAUCUUAAUAUUUUGAAUGCUAUGACGUCACGUCCGGGCAGGCGUAGAGUCUUCCCAGCGUCUGUCUUGUGAGGUUAAUACUCCGGCAGAAUGCGCGCCAAGUGGAGGAAGAAGCGUAUGCGCAGGCUUAAGAGAAAGCGCAGGAAGAUGCGUGCGAGGUCAAAGUAGACUCCUUCCUUUAACCCCCCCAAGAUAUACCACAACACGGUGAUUUAUGGCUACCAUCGUCUUUAAAGUUUUAAUAAAUACUGUGAAGGGG